rnacentral:rRNA from 1 species
UAGGGAAUCUUCGGCAAUGGACGAAAGUCUGACCGAGCAACGCCGCGUUAGUGAAGAAGGUUUUCGGAUCGUAAAACUCUGUUGUUAGAGAAGAACAAGGACGUUAGUAACUGAACGUCCCCUGACGGUAUCUAACCAGAAAGCCACGGCUAACUACGUGCCAGCAGCCGCGGUAAUACGUAGGUGGCAAGCGUUGUCCGGAUUUAUUGGGCGUAAAGCGAGCGCAGGCGGUUUCUUAAGUCUGAUGUGAAAGCCCCCGGCUCAACCGGGGAGGGUCAUUGGAAACUGGGAGACUUGAGUGCAGAAGAGGAGAGUGGAAUUCCAUGUGUAGCGGUGAAAUGCGUAGAUAUAUGGAGGAACACCAGUGGCGAAGGCGGCUCUCUGGUCUGUAAAUGACGCUGAGGCUCGAAAGCGUGGGGAGCAAACAGG